CCAGGUCAAGUAAUGGGUCUGGGAUUUGAAAUACAGCAAAGAACACUCACAAAUAUGGUAAAACAAUUUUUAUGUAAUUAUUUGAUUUUAUUAUUAUUAUUUGAAUUUGAGGUGUAAUAUAUUGGUUACAAAACUGCUACAUUAUAGAAACUGUAUUACAUGGUUUCACUCAGAAAAUUUGAAGCAAAACUUUAACCUGAAAAGAAAGAAAGUUGACUGCUUUAAAUUAACUGAUAAUUAAACUUUUAACUAACAGGUACAUUCUGUGACUUACAACUAACGGCAUGAAUUUAACAAGAAGGACUUACAGAUAAGUAACAAGUUUUUUUUGUGUUUUUUUAAAAUCCAUUUUUGUGGACAAAUUUUUGUUCAGCUGUGGCAGCAAAGUUCAAAAGUGGAAGAAAGAAAGAAAGAAAGAAAAAAAUGCAAGAAAAAAUAUUUACAAUUUUUUUGCUUAAUAACAAUUUAUGAAAAAAUGGAUAAUAACAGAAUAUAGUCCAAAUAAAAUAAAAAUCCAUAUUUUAAAUAAAACCUUUUUGCAAAAUAUUUGCAAUAUUUAAUAACAGUUGUACGUAUGUAAAAAACAAAAACAAAAUGCUUAUCAUUUUUAUUUACUAUAAAAUUGUAUUUUUAUAAUCUGAAUGAUGUUUAUAAUCAAGCACAGUUUUGAGAAGAAGCAUUGUUUUUAUUAUUAGUGUACAAAAAUUACAAAUAUAAAAUCCUCUUUAUGCUCUGUUUUGUUAUCAACUUCAUCAACCAUUUAUAAAAAUAAGUAUAUAGUGUUACAAAGUCUUACAGAAAAAAGAUUUCAGUUUUAUAUUAAUUUCAAAGCUGCAUAUGAACACUGAACAUUGAGGAAGGCUAUGACAUGCGCACAAUUGUAUAAAAUAACAUUAUUUUAUAAAGUUUAGGUUUAUUAAAUACAAAUUAUACAAAGAACAAAAUCAUUGAAUGCUACAUCAGCACAUUGUCUCAAGUUUUACUUCUGUGAUCAAACAACCAAAUCAUUAUAUAUAAAAUCAUGAUAUAUAUUUUUUACUAUGAUGAAAAUCAUUUUGGCUAAUUUUUGCACAAUUUUUAUGUAUCAUUUAUUAUGCUGCAUGGUUAGUUAUCAAGCUCUCGUCUAAUUUAAUCAGAAAAAGAGAGUUAAAAUGCUAUCCCAAUAAGAGAGGUUUACAUCAUAUCAUAAAACACUAAUUGUAAGAAAAUUAUAAGAAAACUAAACAUUGAUAAAUUUUUAGUAACAUGUAUCAUCCAACCCUGGUCUUUUGUAAAUGUUAUUUUUCAAAACCAACAUAAAUAUGGAAUAUGGAAGCCUGUCCUAAAAAUGCUGAAUAUUAGCUGGAGCCCAAAUUAAUCAGCUAAAACAAAAUGAGUUUUUGGUGUUUAGUGAGAUCCAAAUCAUGCUGUGUCCCAUAUUAUCAUUUAUUCACUUUUAAUUGCUCCCUGUUAUAGAAGGACCGGUUUUUCAAGAUCUUUGUUUCGUUUUGUUUUUUGAUAACUCUUUUUCUGAAAGUGUAUUUUUAAAAGCAAUAGCAAUCUCAUAUAGCCUAACAGACAUUCAAAUGUAAACAGUAAGAUCCAUGGUAUUUUAUCAUGGUGUCUAAACUAGAUAGAGCGGAUAAGUUAACCAAAACUACUAGUUUUGACUAGUUAGAUUUUAGCCCUGUGCUAAUGGUGAUCUUGCUACUGUUAUUUUUAUACCUAAAGAUAGCAUACGUAAUUUGUCAAGGAUUUACUUUUGAUCAUACCUAUUGCAAUAUGGGUUAUUAAGGAUAUGUACAUGAAUGGUCUUAAUCACUGGAAGAUGAUUAAGAACUUUAAGCCACAUAUUCCUUUAGGAGAACACCACUGGGCAGAUCUAAUAUAAGUGCCAGUAACACUGAUACAAUAAUACGUGCGUGCAUACAUUAUAUAUAUAUAUAUAUAUAUACACACACACACACACACACAAACAGAGUAUCUCACAAAAGUGAGUACACCCCUCACAUUUUUGUAAAUAUUUGAUUAUAACUUUUCAUGUGACAACACUGAAGAAAUGACACUUUGCUACAAUGUAAGGUAGUGAGUGUACAGCUUAUAUAACAGUGUAAAUUUGCUGUCCCCUCAAAAUAACUCAACACAGCCUUUAAUGUCUAAACUGCUGGCAACAAAAGUGAGUACACCCCUAAGUGAAAAUGUCCAAAUUGGGCUUAAUUAGCCAUUUUCCCUCCCCGGUGUCAUGUGACUUGUUAGUGUUAUAAGGUCUCAGGUGUGAAUGGGGAGCAGUUGUGUUAAAUUUGGUGUCAUAGCGCUCACACUUCCUCAUACUAGUCACUGGAAGUUCAACAUGGCACCUCAUGGCAAAGAACUCUCUGGGGAUCUGAAAAAAUGAAUUGUUGCUCUACAUAAAGAUGGCCUAGGCUAUAAGAAGAUUGCCAAGACCCCGACACUGAGCUGCAGCAUGGUGGCCAAGACCGUACAGCGGUUUAACAGGACAGGUUCCACUCAGAACAUUCCUCGCCAUGGUCGACCAAAGAAGUUGAGUGCACGUGCUCAGUGUCAUAUCCAAAGGUUGUCUUUGGGAAAUAGAUGUAUGAGUCUAUGCUGCUGAGGUUGAAGGGGUGGGGGGUCAGCUUGUCAGUGAUCAGACCAUUCGUCACACACUGCAUCAAAUUGGUCUGCAUGGCUGUCAUCCCAGAAGGAAGCCUCUUCUAAAGAUGAUGCACAAGAAAGCCCGCAAACAGUUUGCUGAAGACAAGCAGACUAAGG
ensembl:lncRNA